rnacentral:rRNA from 1 species
CCUACGGGAGGCAGCAGUGGGGAAUCUUGCGCAAUGGGCGAAAGCCUGACGCAGCCAUGCCGCGUGAAUGAUGAAGGUCUUAGGAUUGUAAAAUUCUUUCACCGGGGACGAUAAUGACGGUACCCGGAGAAGAAGCCCCGGCUAACUUCGUGCCAGCAGCCGCGGUAAUACGAAGGGGGCUAGCGUUGCUCGGAAUUACUGGGCGUAAAGGGAGCGUAGGCGGACAUUUAAGUCAGGGGUGAAAUCCCGGGGCUCAACCUCGGAAUUGCCUUUGAUACUGGGUGUCUUGAGUAUGAGAGAGGUGUGUGGAACUCCGAGUGUAGAGGUGAAAUUCGUAGAUAUUCGGAAGAACACCAGUGGCGAAGGCGACACACUGGCUCAUUACUGACGCUGAGGCUCGAAAGCGUGGGGAGCAAACAGGAUUAGAUACCCUGGUAGUCCACGCCGUAAACGAUGAUUGCUAGUUGUCGGGAUGCAUGNUAUUCGUGCGCAGCUACGACAUAAGUACACUCCGCCGUCGGGAGGUACGGUCGCGAGAAUAAACUACAANAGAGUAGUACGCGNGAGACGNGCCGACGGACGACGACGAGGGAGGAGG